UCAACCUGGUUGAAUCCCUGGACUCUGUCUCUACCUUACUACCCAUAAGGAUGUCAACCUGGUUGAAUCCCUGGACUCUGUCUCUACCUUACUACCCAUAAGGAUGUCAACCUGGUUGAAUCCCUGGACUCUGUCUCUACCUUACUACCCAUAAGGAUGUCAACCUGGUUGUGAGACUGAAAAAAAAGAAUGUGUGAUUUCAAGAUAUGAAGAAGCAGAGCAUGAGAUUAACUUUUUAGGUUUUAUUUUUUAAAUUUAAUUGAACCUUUUUUAAAUGCGCAGCUCUAAAGUCACCUGACUCUUUGAUUGGUCUUUCUGUAUGUCUACAGAGAUACUGAAGGGUAGAUCUGACGCACUGAGGACUCAAUGUUAGAGACAAUGUUAGGCAAGAAUAUAUUUACAUAAACUGCUUAAUUGCCAUGGGAACAUGACACGGUAGUGUACAGAUGAGAGGUAGGUAGCGUAGCCUAGUGGUUAGAGCGUUGGACUAGUAACCGGAAGGUUGCGAGUUCAAACCCCCGAGCUGACAAGGUACAAAUCUGUCGUUCUGCCCCUGAACAAGGCAGUUAACCCACUGUUCCCAGGCCGUCAUUGAAAAUAAGAAUUUGUUCUUAACUGACUUGCCUGGUAAAAUAAAGGUAAAAUAAAAGGUAGCCUAUGGGGGUGUCUCCCAACUCCGUACCCCCAACAGCACACAUUGUUGUUUUAGACCAGGACAAAAACACCUGAUUCAACUUGUCAAAGACUUGAUUAUUAGUUAAAGAGUAGAAUCAGGUGUGCUUGUCCGGGGCCACAACAAAAAAUAUGUCCUAGGUUGAGGGCGCACUGAACGGAGAGGCACUUACUGAACCGAAUUUCACAUCUUGACAUAAAAUUUUAGAAUAUGACAUUUAAAAAAUAUAUUUUUCAUAUGUUAAAGAUGAACAAUACAGAAAUUGUUUGGAUAUAAUGUAGUGCUGGUAUGUGCCUUGACAUCUGUAUAAUAUUGAUUGAAUAUAUAUAAUUAUAAUUAAGAAUGUCAAUAAUAUUGUUUACUGUUUAUUUAAAAAAUAAAAGAAGUAAUGAAAUGAAAAAGAAAUUUGGCAUUUAACGAAAACACCUUGUGUAAAUACUGAAAGACGGUGUACAAUUUAGUACUAUAAUUUAUUACCUGGUUGUUGUUUAAUUAAUAACCCCAUGUUGAAGGUUGUUGUUGUUUCAUUAAUAACACCAUGUUGAAGGUUGUUGUUGUAUAAUUAAUAACACCAUGUUGAAGGUUGUUGUUGUAUAAUUAAUAACACCAUGUUGAAGAUUGUUGUUGUAUAAUGAAUAACCCGAUGUUGAAGGUUGUUGUUUAAUUAAUAACACCAUGUUGAAGGUUGUUGUUGUAUAAUUAAUAACACCAUGUUGAAGAUUGUUGUUGUAUAAUGAAUAACCCGAUGUUGAAGGUUGUUGUUUAAUUAAUAACACCAUGUUGAAGGUUGUUGUUUAAUUAAUAACACCAUGUUGAAGGUUGUUGUUUCAUUAAUAACACCAUGUUGAAGGUUGUUGUUUCAUUAAUAACACCAUGUUGAAGGUUGUUGUUUCAUUAAUAACACCAUGUUGAAGGUUGUUGUUUCAUUAAUAACACCAUGUUGAAGGUUGUUGUUUCAUUAAUAACACCAUGUUGAAGGUUGUUGUUUCAUUAAUAACACCAUGUUGAAGGUUGUUGUUUCAUUAAUAACACCAUGUUGAAGAUUGUUGUUGUUUCAUUAAUAACACCAUGUUGAAGGUUGUUGUUUCAUUAAUAACACCAUGUUGAAGGUUGUUGUUUCAUUAAUAACACCAUGUUGAAGGUUGUUGUUUCAUUAAUAACACCAUGUUGAAGGUUGUUGUUUCAUUAAUAACACCAUGUUGAAGGUUGUUGUUUCAUUAAUAACACCAUGUUGAAGGUUGUUGUUGUAUUAUACUGUAUCAUACUUCUUUUUCACUGUAACCACCUGGCCAAGACACAAGUGAGUUCCUAUUUGUUGCACUUUUGUCUAUAUCCAAUUAAAUAAAUUAUAUUUUUUAUACAUGAA